UAUGAGUGACCGCAUUUACCCAUAUUUGGGUGAAAAAACAAACAUAACAAAUUCGACUUGAUAGCCACCGUUCGCAGUAGUUUUCUCUGUUUAAUCCUCGAUUCAGUUCGACCAAUAUUUGUGUAAUUCCGAGUGCAGUUCUAGAUGUGAGCUUCUCCUGGAACUUCUCCAAAAUCUUAACCAGUUCCGAUCAGUCUGAGCAGCUGUCGGAUAUCGACCUCGCAAGUGUUCUUUUGCGAGAAACAGGUCUAGCUCCCGAGCCAUUGGUGGAAAACUUCUAGCAGCUGCGAGUCUCUGACCCCGGAUUAGGUCAUUCUUGAGAGCUACCAUCAGUGCUACGGAAUCGAUCCGCCAGCAACCAUCGUAUUUUCCCACUAAAAACUCCGCGGAUGUCCCAAGAAAGUUCCAGAUUCCCAAAUACAGGACCCCAUUGCGCAGGAACUAACCAAAGCGGGCGUGAGAAAUCAUUUCCGGACAACUCCAAUGUGAAGAUCUCGAUGUUUAAUUUGCAUGCUGCCUCGUCAUGUCACUCCCGAAAGUUGCUGAUAAGAAGAACAGGUCGGAAAAAGGAAAAAAGAAAAAUUCAGUCGGAUCGUUCAAGACAGGAGCAUCACCAGAGAGAAAUGAAACGUACACCAAGGAGGAGUUAUUCUUUUUGUUGCACCAAGAGCUGCUGUUUGAUGUUGCUGCUCAAGCAACAUACGAAUUGCAGAUUUUUGAUUAGGUUGAUCUCGAUGCGGUUAGUCACGACGUUUCAUCAAUCGAUCCAACAACAUCAGUUAUCUUCUACAGAUAUCAUUCCGCACAGCUAACAUGUGAUCCGGUGCUUGCUGCGAUUGAUGUUUCCUCCCUGCCUCUCUUCCCCCCUGAUGAGCAGCUGAGGGAUGUUCCGGUUCGUCUGGAAUUGCUACCAUAACCGAAUGGCAUGACAUAAAUUAAAUCUCCUGUAGUUGCUUGUAUUACAGUUGUUCGUUUACAAACGAAUGAUUAUUUUUUAUUAUUCUUAAUUUUAUCAUCCUUUCCCAUCGAUGUGUUAUUCAUAGUAUUAAGUCCAUUUGUCUGUGAAUCAAAAUGUAAUCCCUUCCUUCCUUCCCCAAUCCCUCAAUCAUUCAAUCAUGAUAACGGUCAUUAUUACACGAUCACAGUAGCCUCCUCCCAACCAAACACAAUGUUCCUUUUUGUUAUUUUUGUUUGUUGUUCCUUCGAAUAUGGGAGGAGCUAAGUCACGCAAAUAAGCUGUUGCAUCACAGAAAAUAUGUGUAUAAAAAAGAAGCACGUCGCGCAGAGCGAUUCAUUGUUUUUGUAUAUUUCAAACGAAGA